GACGAACGCUGGCGGCGUGCUUAACACAUGCAAGUCGAACGGAAAGGCCCUGCUUUUGUGGGGUGCUCGAGUGGCGAACGGGUGAGUAACACGUGAGUAACCUGCCCUUGACUUUGGGAUAACUUCAGGAAACUGGGGCUAAUACCGGAUAGGAGCUCCUGCUGCAUGGUGGGGGUUGGAAAGUUUCGGCGGGUGGGGAUGGACUCGCGGCUUAUCAGCUUGUUGGUUGGUUAGUGGCUUACCAAGGCUGUGACGGGUAGCCGGCCUGAGAGGGUGACCGGCGACAUUGGGACUGAGGAACGGCCCAGACGCCAACGGGAGGCAGCAGGGGGAAGUAUUGCACAAUGGGCGGAAGCCUGAUGCGGAAACGCCGCGUGCGGGAUGCCGGCCUUCGGGUUGUAAACCGCUUUAGCCUGUGACGAAGCGUGAGUGACGGUAAUGGGUGAAGAAGCACCGGCUAACUACGUG
rnacentral:rRNA from 1 species